UAAAAAAAUCAAGAAAAAUCUUUUAUGCCGCAUACCAAUGUCAAACUUGAAGGAAUCUUGAAGGGACGAGACGAGAUUUCAUUUCAGAUUUUUAAAAAUGUUAUGAGCCGGCAAGAAUUGGUAUUUUUGAUCACAGUGUCAGCACUGAUCUCCUGUAUCGCCACAGUUAUAGAAAAAAGCACCAGAGGCGGCGGCGGUUCAAGAUGGCCAUAAUGAUUUUGUGUCUUUCACUUUAACAGCACUCCAUCCACUCCAUCUUAAAGUAUUUACAAUUCAGGUUUCACAAAAUACACAAUACCCAUGGAUACCAAAACUAUCCUCUAAAUUCAA